AAUAAGUGCAGCAUAAUUAGUACCAUGUCGAAAUGUGUAGUUCAUAUACAGACAUAUACAAGAAUCCCUCUGUCUGACCAUAAUCUUUGAAUAGAUGAUAUUUGGUAACAUUGUUGUUCACAUUUAUGUAUCAAGAUCAGGAUAGGGUAAAUAGAAUAGAGAAUAAAGGCAAAAUUGGCUUAAAUAAUACAUGAUAGAAAAAAACAGACCAGAAAAAUGAAGAAAAGGUUGCUUGAACAAACAUAUCAAAGAACAGGC
rnacentral:lncRNA from 1 species